AGCUUCAAAGUAUAUUCGAGGAUGUGGUGAAGACAGAGGUCAUCGAGGAGGCGUUUGCAGGGAUGUUCAUGGACACGCCGGAAGAUGAGCGGACCAAACUGAUCAGCUGUUUAGGAGCUUUCCGGCAGUACUGGGGCUCGCUCCCUCAGGUCAGGAAGUGUGGACAGUGUGAGGAAGUCCAUCAGCCGAGACGUCUUCAGUGUCCGAUGUUUAUUCCUCCCCAGCGCUCCACUUUAAACUCUUUCCUCCGUUCAUCUGGUCCACAUACGUUUGUUCUGAUUCCUUCUGCAUACUGUGUUAAUAUGAUAUACAUGAGUUCAGAGAAUAACUCAACUGAUUCACUGAACAUGGAAGGAGCGAAUCAUUUACAUUAAACAAACUGAUUCUUUCUGACUCAGUUUGAUGCUUUUGACACAUACAGAUUUAUUCUAACUCAUAAUGACCAGUCUGACUCAUUCUGAUUUCUACUGAUAUCUAACGAUUUAGAAAUUAAACUGUGCUGGACACGGACACACACACACACUCACAAUAACUGAGAACUGUGUUCCCAAUGAGAACUGAACUGUGCUGGACAUGGACACACACAACACACACACACCCACAAAAACUGAGAACUGUGUUCCCAACAAUAACUGAACUGUGCUGGACACGGACACACAACUGAGAACUGCUUUCAACAGAGAACUAUACUGUGCUGGCCACACACACUAAAAUUGUCCUGUUUGCACGCAUAUGUCACUUUACAUUACACUUUACACUUUAUAUUGAUCCUGUUUACAUGUUAACUUUAAUAUUUGCACUCACUGUCUACACUGUUCUUUUGAACAGAGUCUGUCUACAUGUUGUUUGUCUGCACUGUCUUGUCUCAUCAUCCUGUGCACUUCUGUUGUAUGUCUAGUUCAGGGGUCGGCAACCUCAAACACUCAAAGAGUCAUUUGGACCCAUUUCCCACAGAAAAGAAAACACCGGGAGCCACAAAAUCCUUAUCUAAAAUAGUACUGGCCCUGACUGACUCACCUGAGUUAAAUGAUCCGAUUCUGCAUAUUAACUCAUGAUUCAUGAGCCCGAGGUCUAAAUUAACCCGAUUCUUAUUUAUCCUAUGGCUACCGUGCUCUUUUUAUUAAUUAUUAUUAUUAUUAUUAUUAUUAUUAUUAUUAUUAUUAUUAUUAUUAUUAUUAUUAAACAAUGCAGAACAUUGUAUAUUAUAUUAAUAUUAAUGCAGUUAUUAAACAUAGCAGAGAAAAAAAAGUAGAAAGAAAGCUGCCAGGGUAACGAGAGAGAGAGAAAAACAACUGUAUAAGAAAUUGAUGUAAGAAGAAGAUGGCUGCUAUUGUGUUCAUCGACUGAUUCAGCUGAUUCUCAGUGGACUCACAGAGUUGGGUUAUAGACUGAUUCAGCUGAUUCUCAGUGGACUCAUGGAGUCGGGUUAUAGACUGAUUCAGCUGAUUCUCAGUGGAUUCACGGAGUCGGGUUAUAGACUGAUUCAGCUGAUUCUCAGUGGAUUCACGGAGUCGGGUUAUAGACUGAUUCAGCUGAUUCUCAGUGGAUUCACGGAGUCGGGUUAUAGACUGAUUCAGCUGAUUCUCAGUGGAUUCACGGAGUCGGGUUAUAGACUGAUUCAGCUGAUUCUCAGUGGAUUCACGGAGUCGGGUUAUAGACUGAUUCAGCUGAUUCUCACUGGACUCGAGGAGUCGGGUUAUAGACUGAUUCAGCUGAUUCUCAGUGGACUCACGGAGUCGGGUUGUAGACUGAUUCAGCUGAUUCUCAGUGGACUCGAGGAGUCAGGUUAUAGACUGAUUCAGCUGAUUCUCAGUGGACUCACGGAGUCGGGUUAUAGACUGAUUCAGCUGAUUCUCAGUGGACUCCGAAGAGUCAGGUUAUAGACUGAUUCAGCUGAUUCUCAGUGGAUUCACGGAGUCGGGUUAUAGACUGAUUCAGCUGAUUCUCACUGGACUCGAGGAGUCGGGUUAUAGACUGAUUCAGCUGAUUCUCAGUGGACUCACGGAGUCGGGUUGUAGACUGAUUCAGCUGAUUCUCAGUGGACUCGAGGAGUCAGGUUAUAGACUGAUUCAGCUGAUUCUCAGUGGACUCACGGAGUCGGGUUAUAGACUGAUUCAGCUGAUUCUCAGUGGACUCCGAAGAGUCAGGUUAUAGACUGAUUCAGCUGAUUCUCAGUGGACUCGAGGAGUCGGGAUAUAGACUGAUUCAGAUGAUUCUCAGUGGACUCGUGGAGUCGGGUUAUAGACUGAUUCAGCUGAUUCUCAGUGGACUCACGGAGUCGGGUUAUAGACUGAUUCAGCUGAUUCUCAGUGGACUUGAGGAGUCGGGUUAUAGACUGAUUCAGAUGAUUCUCAGUGGACUCAUGGAGUCGAGUUAUAGACUGAUUCAGAUGAUUCUCAGUGGACUCAAGGAGUCGGGUUGUAGACUGAUUCAGCUGAUUCUCAGUGGACUCGAGGAGUCAGGUUAUAGACUGAUUCAGCUGAUUCUCAGUGGACUCACGGAGUCGGGUUAUAGACUGAUUCAGCUGAUUCUCAGUGGACUCCGAAGAGUCAGGUUAUAGACUGAUUCAGCUGAUUCUCAGUGGACUCGAGGAGUCGGGAUAUAGACUGAUUCAGAUGAUUCUCAGUGGACUCGUGGAGUCGGGUUAUAGACUGAUUCAGCUGAUUCUCAGUGGACUCGAAGAGUCAGGUUAUAGACUGAUUCAGCUGAUUCUCAGUGGACUCAUGGAGUUGAGUUAUAGACUGAUUCAGCUGAAUCUCAGUGGACUCACGGAGUCGGGUUAUAGACUGAUUCAGCUGAUUCUCAGUGGACUUGAGGAGUCGGGUUAUAGACUGAUUCAGAUGAUUCUCAGUGGACUCAUGGAGUCGAGUUAUAGACUGAUUCAGAUGAUUCUCAGUGGACUCAAGGAGUCGGGUUAUAGACUGAUUCAGCUGAUUCUCAGCGGACUUGAGGAGUCGGGUUAUAGACUGAUUCAGAUGAUUCUCAGUGGACUCAUGGAGUCGAGUUAUAGACUGGUUCAGCUGAUUCUCAGUGGACUCGCGGAGUCGGGUUAUAGACUGAUUCAGCUGAAACUCUUACAUUUAGUCUCAGCAACUCCAAAGUACGUGAGCUGAUAUUCUUAAAUGCCAAUUUAUAUAACUUAUAGCAAAGUACUUUAUGUAUAUAGUUAUACUUUGGGCACAUUUUUUAUUUUUGUUCAGUUUGGUUGAUUUAUUCCUUAUUUAAGAUAUUUAUUUUUAUUCCAUUUGGACACUUUAACAUUUAACAUAUUUAAUUUUUGGUUAAUAUUACUGAUUUGCACAUUUUUCAUUUCUAUAUUUGUGUUAAAGUUUGUGUAUGUGUGUGUGUGUGUGUGUGUGUGCGUGUGAGCGUGUGCGUGUGAGCGUGUGCAUGUGUGUGUGUGUGUGUGUGCGUGUGUGUGUGCGUGUGUGUGUGUGUGUGUGCGUGUGUGUGUUUGUGUGGCACUUUAAAAUAAAUUUUUGUUGCACUGGUAUCGUUGCACAAGUCUUGAUUCUUUUUAAUUUACACAGGGACAUGUUUAUUGCCCCUGUCAGUGGCGGAACAAGCUCACAUCGCCCCCUGGGGCAAACAUUUGGUUGGUUACCCAUCAUGCAAUAGGCAAAGAUUUUCUAAAAACUUGCAAUUACUAUUAGAUACACGCCAUAACAUAACAGUACAUAACUAUAGUCGUUAAAUUAUUAACCACUAUUUCCCACCAUGAUUAGAGUUCGUAUAGGAAACGAGGACUAUAAAAGAAUCACUUUUCAAAAGGAACUAACUCAGAAGGAAUCACUGACUCGAUUAAUUUCACUGAGUGACUUUAAAAAGAAUCGUUCCACUGAUCUAAAAUGAAGAUAACACUGCAUAUUGUAACAACACACCCAGAGACAGAGAGCAGAUCCAACACGUGUUUAAUAAACUCAAGCAGGCAGGAGUCAGAACUAGACUUAGGCGAAUAAGGGAAUUAAGGCAGGCACGAAACAAAGAAGACAGACUGAAAUACCAAACUAAACUUUCUUUAGAAAAGACUUGACGAUCAGGCAUCAACAGUUCUAAUAUUAGCUGUGAGUGAGGGCUUCAAGUGGGCGCCGUGUGAUUGAGUGCAGGUGGAGCAAUCAAAAGUCUGGUGAUUGGGAGCACGGAGGCGCGGCUGAGGUUGACCUCCCAGUCGACCAGAUACUGUAGAUGGCCGCCGCGUCGUCUGGAGUUCAUUAUCUCUUGGAUUUGGUAGACCGUGUUGUCUGUGUCGAUCUCGGGCGGCGACGAGCUCUCGGGCUCUGUGGGAGGAGAGAGAACAGGGUUAGUGUAUGGUUUUAGGAGAGACACAUGGAAAGUCUUUGAGAUCCGGUAGUGCGCAGGGAGGAUGAGUUCGUAGGAGACAUCGUUAAUGCGCCUUCAGACGUCUAAGGGACCAAUAUAGCGAGGGCUGAGCUUCCUACAGGGGAGUUUGAGGCAGAUGUCCCAUGUAGAAAGCCAAACUCGAUCGCCCGGAUAGUAGCACGGUGUCUCUCUGCGCAGCGUGUCGUCUGCCGGCGAAUAGCGUGGCCUCAGGUGGACAUGCGCCGAUCCCCAGACCCUCUCACUCUCUCAGAACCAGUGGUCGACUGAUGGUAUUUCAGAAGGUUUGCCAGACCAGGGGAAAAGAGGUGGUUGAUAGCCGAGUAUGAAACAAAGAUGGCGGCGUGGCAGUAGCAUGCAGCGGCCACUCCGGAACCAAAAUGGUGCUUUCUUUUUGUUUUAGCGCGAAAUUAAAAGUGCAUGGACACCAAAGACAGUGGUGUUCAUGUAUACGACCGCAAGACGAUAUUACAGUACAGAAAUCAUGCAGUUACUAACUUGCAUGAUGAAGUGCUCUGCAAACUUCGCGAACUCGGCUUGCUGCGAAGUCCAGGCCUUCAGUCCUCGGCGUCGCCUGAUGCCGGU